rnacentral:rRNA from 1 species
AUGGAAAAAUGUCAAAGUUCCAGGCUUUGCGGAAGGAGCAACGACUACAGGGAUUGGUGUUUUCAUGCAUCUACCGGGAGAACAAAGUAUCAAGGUCCAGAUUCAGCACUCGUGCUGGCAGCAAAUGCAGCGAAGCAUCUACAAGUCCAACAAGCUACAUUUUUAACAGACAACCUGACACUUGCUACAGCUGCUGCAAAAAGGGAAAUUGCUACAAACAAAAUCCUUUGGGAGCUCAGAAAAAGCUUAGCGGAUUAUAUCCAUGUCACAGCAGGUCUCCAAGCACAGGUGUAUCACAUCUCUAGAGAUCUAAAUGGUAUUGCCCAUAGUGUAGCUCAUCAGGUUCUAAAUCACUCUUUAGAACCUUCUUUUACGUGUAUAAAUUCAGCUCACAGAAAUAGGGAGUGCCAUGUAAUUUCUUCCUUCAUCAAGUUAAUCUCCAGGGAUAUGUACUCCAUGCUGUAA